UACGGGAGGCAGCAGUGGGGAAUAUUGCACAAUGGGCGAAAGCCUGAUGCAGCUAUGCCGCGUGUAUGAAGAAGGCCUUAGGGUUGUAAAGUACUUUCAUCGGGGAGGAAAAAACAAAACUAAUAAUUUUAUUUCUUGACGUUACCCGAAAAAGAAGCACCGGCUAACUCCGUGCCAGCAGCCGCGGUAAUACGGAGGGUGCUAGCGUUAAUCAGAAUUACUGGGCGUAAAGAGCACGUAGGUUGGUUUUUUUAAGUCAGAUGUGAAAUCCCUGGGCUUAACCUAGGAACUGCAUUUUGAAACUGAAAUACUAGAGUAUCGUAGAGGGAGGUAGAAUUCUAGGUGUAGCGGUGAAAUGCGUAGAUAUCUGGAGGAAUACCUGUGGCGAAAGCGGCCUCCUAAACGAAUACUGACACUGAGGGUGCGAAAGCGUGGGGAGCAAACGAGGGAUUAGAUACC
rnacentral:rRNA from 1 species